UUCGGGGUACUCGAGUGGCGAACGGGUGAGUAACACGUGGGUGAUCUGCCCUGCACUUUGGGAUAAGCCUGGGAAACUGGGUCUAAUACCGAAUAUGACCGCNCACUUCCUGGUGUGUGGUGGAAAGCUUUUGCGGUGUGGGAUGGGCCCGCGGCCUAUCAGCUUGUUGGUGGGGUAAUGGCCUACCAAGGCGACGACGGGUAGCCGGCCUGAGAGGGUGACCGGCCACACUGGGACUGAGAUACGGCCCAGACUCCUACGGGAGGCAGCAGUGGGGAAUAUUGCACAAUGGGCGCAAGCCUGAUGCAGCGACGCCGCGUGAGGGAUGACGGCCUUCGGGUUGUAAACCUCUUUCAAUAGGGACGAAGCGCAAGUGACGGUACCUAUAGAAGAAGGACCGGCCAACUACGUGCCAGCAGCCGCGGUAAUACGUAGGGUCCGAGCGUUGUCCGGAAUUACUGGGCGUAAAGAGCUCGUAGGUGGUUUGUCGCGUUGUUCGUGAAAACUCACAGCUUAACUGUGGGCGUGCGGGCGAUACGGGCAGACUAGAGUACUGCAGGGGAGACUGGAAUUCCUGGUGUAGCGGUGGAAUGCGCAGAUAUCAGGAGGAACACCGGUGGCGAAGGCGGGUCUCUGGGCAGUAACUGACGCUGAGGAGCGAAAGCGUGGGGAGCGAACAGGAUUAGAUACCCUGGUAGUCCACGCCGUAAACGGUGGGUACUAGGUGUGGGUUUCCUUCCUUGGGAUCCGUGCCGUAGCUAACGCAUUAAGUACCCCGCCUGGGGAGUACGGCCGCAAGGCUAAAACUCAAAGAAAUUGACGGGGGCCCGCACAAGCGGCGGAGCAUGUGGAUUAAUUCGAUGCAACGCGAAGAACCUUACCUGGGUUUGACAUGCACAGGACGCCAGUAGAGAUAUUGGUUCCCUUGUGGCCUGUGUGCAGGUGGUGCAUGGCUGUCGUCAGCUCGUGUCGUGAGAUGUUGGGUUAAGUCCCGCAACGAGCGCAACCCUUGUCUCAUGUUGCCAGCACGUAAUGGUGGGGACUCGUGAGAGACUGCCGGGGUCAACUCGGAGGAAGGUGGGGAUGACGUCAAGUCAUCAUGCCCCUUAUGUCCAGGGCUUCACACAUGCUACAAUGGCCGGUACAAAGGGCUGCGAUGCCGUGAGGUGGAGMGAAUCCUUUCAAAGCCGGUCUCAGUUCGGAUCGGGGUCUGCAACUCGACCCCGUGAAGUSNANNNCSYWAGUAAUCGCAGAAUCAGCAACGCUGCGGUGAAUAMGUUYCCGGGCCUUGUACACACCGCCCGUCACGUCAUGAAAGUCGGUAACACCCGAAGCC
rnacentral:rRNA from 1 species